rnacentral:rRNA from 1 species
AUGAAGAACCUCCAUGCCGAUGGAGUUUUGGAGUCACUUGAUUUUGAAUCACUUGACACAUGCAAGCCAUGCCUCAUUGGCAAGAUGACUAAAACCCCGUUUUCUGGAACAAUGGAACGGGCAAGUGACUUGUUGGAAAUCAUACAUGCUGAUGUGUGCGAUCCGAUGAGUGUUGACGCGUGCGGUGGAUAUCGUUAUUUUCUCACCUUCACCAAUGAAUUGAGUAGAUAUGGGUAUAUUUACUUAAUGAAGCAUAAGUCUGAAACGUUUGAAAAGUUCAAGCAAUUUCAGAGUGAAGUUGAGAAUCAUCAUAACAAGAAGAUCAAGUUCCUGCGAUCUGAUCAAGGGAAAAGUAUCUGA